AUUCUGGGUCAAUCAGACUAAAUCCAGGAAAACAACUGUACCCUCUUAGUUUUUGCUCAAAGUUUAUGCUAACCUUAAUGUCAGUCUUUUCACACUUUUUUCCAAAUCUAGGGCAUGCUGUACAAACUUGUAAUGGUUCAUAUUAACAUGUUUGUCUUCCACCCUACAAAGUUUGGGCUGCCUAUGAAUUUAUGUCCA